AUUGAACGAUGGCGGCAGGCCUAACACAUGCAAGUCGCACGAGUGGCGGACGGGUGAGUAAUGUCUGGGAAACUGCCUGAUGGAGGGGGAUAACUACUGGAACCGGUAGCUAAUACCGCAUACCAUAAGAUGUGCCCAGAGGGGAUUAGCUUGUUGGUGGGGUAACGGCUCACCAAGGCGAAGAUCCCUAGCUGGUCUGAGAGGAUGACCAGCCACACUGUAACGUAGACACGGGCCAGACUCCAACGAGAGGCCGCAGUGGGGAAUAUUGCACAAUGGGCGCAAGCCUGAUGCAGCCAUGCCGCGUGUAUGAAGAAGGCCUUCGAGUUGUAAAGUACUUUCAGCGGGGAGGCGUUACCCGCAGAAGGAGCACCGGCUAACUCCGUGCCAGCAGACGCGGUAGUAC
rnacentral:rRNA from 1 species